GAUGAACGCUAGCUACAGGCUUAACACAUGCAAGUCGAGGGACCGGCGCACGGGUGAGUAACAUGUAUCCCACCUGCCCUUUACUCGGGGAUAGCCUUUCGAAAGAAAGAUUAAUACCCGAUAUAAAGGAUGGGGAUGCGUUCCAUUAGGUUGUUGGUGAGGUAACGGCUCACCAAGCCUUCGAUGGUUAGGGGUUCGGAGAGGAAGGUCCCCCACAUUUGAACUGAGAAACGGUCCAAACUCCUACGGGAGGAAGCAGUAAGGAAUAUUGGUCAAUGGGCGGUAGCCUGACCCAGCCAAGUAGCGUGAAGGAUGAAGGCUUAUUGGUCGUAAACUUCUUUUAUAUAAGAAUAUGUAUUAUAUGAAUAAGGAUCGGCUAACUCCGUGCCAGCAGCCGCGGUAAUUC
rnacentral:rRNA from 1 species